rnacentral:rRNA from 1 species
CGGCGUGGAUUAGGCACGCAAGUCGCACGAGAAACCAAUUAAGCUUGCUAAGAGGUGGACAGUGGCGAAAGGGAGAGUAACGCGUGGUUACGUGCCCUCGAGACCGGGAUAGUGUCGGGAAACUGGCAGUAAUACCGGAUAACAUCUUUGGAUCAAAUGGUGUGAUUCCGCUCGAGGAUCGGACCGCGUACUAUUAGCUUGUUGGUGAGGUAAUGGCUCACCAAGGCUGCGAUGGUUACCGGGUGUGAGAGCAUGGCCCGGCUCACUGGGACUGAGACACUGCCCAGACAUCUACGGAUGGCUGCAGUCGAGAAUCUUCGGCAAUGGACGAAAGUCUGACCGAGCGAUGCCGCGUGCGGGAUGAAGGCCCUCGGGUUGUAAACCGCUGUCAGUUGUUAGGAAAUCUAUAGGGGUUCUCUCCUAUGGUUGACCGAUCUUCAGAGGAAGGACGGGCUAAGUUCGUG